rnacentral:rRNA from 1 species
GUGACCUCAAAUCAGGUAGGACUACCCGCUGAACUUAAGCAUAUCAAUAAGCGGAGGAAAAGAAACUAACAAGGAUUCCCCUAGUAACUGCGAGUGAAGCGGGAAAAGCUCAAAUUUAAAAUCUGUCAGUCUUUGGCUGUCCGAGUUGUAAUCUAGAGAAGUGUUAUCCGCGCUGGACCGUGUACAAGUCUCCUGGAAUGGAGCGUCAUAGAGGGUGAGAAUCCCGUCUUUGACACGGACUGCCAGGGCUUUGUGAUGCGCUCUCAAAGAGUCGAGUUGUUUGGGAAUGCAGCUCAAAAUGGGUGGUAAAUUCCAUCUAAAGCUAAAUAUUGGCGAGAGACCGAUAGCGAACAAGUACCGUGAGGGAAAGAUGAAAAGAACUUUGGAAAGAGAGUUAAACAGUACGUGAAAUUGCUGAAAGGGAAACGCUUGAAGUCAGUCGCGUUGGCCAGGGAUCAACCUUGCUUUUGCUUGGUGUACUUUCUGGUUGACGGGUCAGCAUCAAUUUUGACUGUUGGAAAAAAAUUA